GCAGCUGCUCAGCCAGAAUCACAUUUCCCAGCCUUCCCUGAAUCUGAAUAAGGACAUAUGACCGGUUCUUUCAUGUAGAAUGGGAGUAGAAGGCAUGCGCACUUUCAGAGCAAAGGCUUUCGGAAACAGCUCUGCUUCUACCGUGCCUCUGUUCCAUUCCAUCAGCUCGAUGCAGACAAUGAGGCCUUAGAGGACAAUGGGAUCAGAAGAGAAAAAGGAUGCAGUCCCCACAGGAGAGCUGCCCAUCAACCAGAAGAACUAGGGAUCAGCCUCCAUUGCAUGGAUGCACUGCGGGCCAGUUGUUUACAGCAGUCUCGUCACCAGGUUAGAAAUCGCACCCCAGUGGUCACACAGAACAUCCAUCUUUUUGCUUCUAUUUUUGCAGCUGUUCACUAGUCCAUUGGAAAGGUGGCUCACGGUUGCUUCAGACUGCCUGUCUCUAGGAUAUUGAAGUGGCUUCCAGCUUUUUGUCGCUCGAAACGAUGCUGCUGUGGCUAGAAGUAUACAUAGAUCAUUUCGUGGAAUGCAUCAGCUACUCAUGUGAAUAUUGGCCCUACUACACCUCAGGAAGUAGAAUUCGAUGACUGAACACGACAUUUUCAGAGAGUACAGGAGAUGAGUCUGUUAGGCUGGAAUUCCCACUGCAAUGAUGAGUGAUGAUUGUUACUAUGACUCGGCUGAGGCCAUGCUGCACCCUGGAACGAUCCCUUAUGGUUUCAGAGGCUUGCUGAAUAUCAGGUGCCAG